rnacentral:lncRNA from 1 species
AAGGUCUGACUUUCCAAUGGUUUUGUGUUUCUACUCUUGGUGACAGAGUAUUUCUGAAUUUGUGAGAAGAUUUGUUUUAUUUUUAAAAGUGGGAAAUGCCAAAUGGAACUGUUCUUCGGUUGAAUUCUAUCAGAAUUCCUUGCCUGGUGGAAUUUCAUUCUUGUAGACUGCACAGGUCAAAGUUCCUAGAGUUGAAUUCUGAGGAUAUCCUGGGAUGGAAGCAUCUUAGCCUGUGUGCCCCCAAGACAGGAAGAGGCAAUUUCCUUCGACUCAGUGAGAGCAGCCUCCUUGGACAGGUCUUAGAGACCAUCAGGAGCAAGAAGACAUGUCCCCACCUGAUGGCCCUGCUGACCGGCUCCCCUCAUCCAAGUGGCUCUCAGUAGUCCCUUGGGCCCCAGAUCUCUUCUUGACUGGCAGUGUCCUCACACAUGACGCUCUCCACUGGCACACGUUUCAUUUGUCCUUCUCUGGCUGAAAUCCCUUCAUGCUAUCCUUGCUUUGGCUUAAAUAUUCAGAGGGCCCUCGGUGGUAGCUCUGUGUGUGUCCCGCUCUGGACCCUUGCCUCACUUUCCUUUGUGUCUGUGCCCUCUGUGUUUCCCGAAUUAUACGUAUCCUGUUUGUACUUUUCUAGGUGCUUGUUUCAUUCUUCUCUCUGUCUGUUUCCCCCAUGGGACUGUCAAUGCCACAAGGACAGAAAGCAAACCUGUUCCAUGUCCACUGUGUCCCCAGAUCCUAGCACAGGCCAGCAUACACUUAGGCCCUUAGGCAGUGAUUAUGAAAUAAACGAAUGAACAGUUGGAACCACCAAAGAAAAAUCCAAAUGUUUAAGUGUUAUAAUGCUGGAAAAUGGAG